AGCCUCUCACAAAUUUAGUUGGCA
rnacentral:siRNA from 1 species